CCUUGUUUACUUGUCUGGUAUUUUUGGGUUUGGGAGGGUAAAAUACCGGCCCACGACCGAAUCCCGAAAGUUACCCGAUGGGCCGUUUACUUCUCUGGUUUUUUUGUGUAACAUCCUGGCCCAUCCCAGAUCUUCCUGAUCCGGUAAGCUGCACACUCCGGUAUUCUCAUCCACGAGGUCGACCCCGUGUAUUCGGUCGUGAAAAGGGGAACAAGCGAUGGAGGCUACGCAAUGGCGGCGACGGCAGUGAGGAAAGGCGGCGGCGGCGGGGAAAGAACUAGCAGAUCAAGACGGCGCCGACGAGAUCCUCCUCCGGCGACUGGUCCCCGGUCGAUCAAUGUUCUUCUUACAAUUCCAAUAUGGGUUCUUGUGACACGUAUGCAGGUUGAUAUUGAUGAAAACAUUUGGAAGGAUACGAACAACGGAUGAUCCGACCAACUGCUUUUAGAACUGGCAUUUGAGAGCAGCAUAAUUUUUUUUGCCACCGAAUAGAAUAUUCCAUGAGAUCGAACUGAUGAUCCCUUGUUUUUUUAAUUACCAUGCAACGUUUCAUAAACAUUCUUGUAUAUUUAUUGCAAAGAUAUGAUUUUUAUUUGAGUG